GGGGGGGGGGGGGGGUAACAAAGCCCUUAUCACCGCCCAGUAGUUGAUCCUGGCUCAGAUGAACGCUGGCGGCAGGCCUAACACAUGCAAGUCGAGCGGUAGCACAGAGAGCUUGCUCUCGGGUGACGAGCGGCGGACGGGUGAGUAAUGUCUGGGAAACUGCCUGAUGGAGGGGGAUAACUACUGGAAACGGUAGCUAAUACCGCAUAAUGUCGCAAGACCAAAGUGGGGGACCUUCGGGCCUCAUGCCAUCAGAUGUGCCCAGAUGGGAUUAGCUAGUAGGUGGGGUAACGGCUCACCUAGGCGACGAUCCCUAGCUGGUCUGAGAGGAUGACCAGCCACACUGGAACUGAGACACGGUCCAGACUCCUACGGGAGGCAGCAGUGGGGAAUAUUGCACAAUGGGCGCAAGCCUGAUGCAGCCAUGCCGCGUGUGUGAAGAAGGCCUUCGGGUUGUAAAGCACUUUCAGCGGGGAGGAAGGCGGUGAGGUUAAUAACCUCAUCGAUUGACGUUACCCGCAGAAGAAGCACCGGCUAACUCCGUGCCAGCAGCCGCGGUAAUACGGAGGGUGCAAGCGUUAAUCGGAAUUACUGGGCGUAAAGCGCACGCAGGCGGUCUGUCAAGUCGGAUGUGAAAUCCCCGGGCUCAACCUGGGAACUGCAUUCGAAACUGGCAGGCUAGAGUCUUGUAGAGGGGGGUAGAAUUCCAGGUGUAGCGGUGAAAUGCGUAGAGAUCUGGAGGAAUACCGGUGGCGAAGGCGGCCCCCUGGACAAAGACUGACGCUCAGGUGCGAAAGCGUGGGGAGCAAACAGGAUUAGAUACCCUGGUAGUCCACGCCGUAAACGAUGUCGAUUUGGAGGUUGUGCCCUUGAGGCGUGGCUUCCGGAGCUAACGCGUUAAAUCGACCGCCUGGGGAGUACGGCCGCAAGGUUAAAACUCAAAUGAAUUGACGGGGGCCCGCACAAGCGGUGGAGCAUGUGGUUUAAUUCGAUGCAACGCGAAGAACCUUACCUGGUCUUGACAUCCACAGAACUUUCCAGAGAUGGAUUGGUGCCUUCGGGAACUGUGAGACAGGUGCUGCAUGGCUGUCGUCAGCUCGUGUUGUGAAAUGUUGGGUUAAGUCCCGCAACGAGCGCAACCCUUAUCCUUUGUUGCCAGCGGUUCGGCCGGGAACUCAAAGGAGACUGCCAGUGAUAAACUGGAGGAAGGUGGGGAUGACGUCAAGUCAUCAUGGCCCUUACGACCAGGGCUACACACGUGCUACAAUGGCAUAUACAAAGAGAAGCGACCUCGCGAGAGCAAGCGGACCUCAUAAAGUAUGUCGUAGUCCGGAUUGGAGUCUGCAACUCGACUCCAUGAAGUCGGAAUCGCUAGUAAUCGUAGAUCAGAAUGCUACGGUGAAUACGUUCCCGGGCCUUGUACACACCGCCCGUCACACCAUGGGAGUGGGUUGCAAAAGAAGUAGGUAGCUUAACCUUCGGGAGGGCGCUUACCACUUUGUGAUUCAUGACUGGGGUGAAGUCGUAACAAGUAACCGUAACUGGUU
rnacentral:rRNA from 1 species